AUGGAGCAGUUCGAGGACGGCCACCACGUGCGGCUGCGGAGCCGCGAGCGCGGCACGUACCUGCACGCGGACGAUGACGGGCUUGGCGUCUCCCUCAGCCGGCGCCGCGCGUCGAUGAACUCGGCUUGGGCGGUGCACAUCUACCAGGGAGAUGGCAACAACCAGUACGUGCUCCUCCACAGCGCCGCCUACGGCCGCUACCUCGGCACCACGGGCGCGCCGGCGCCGCGAGGCCACAGCGACUAUGAGCCGUGGGAGGAGGUGGUCAUCAGGUGGCAGGCCGUCAGGACCGACUCGGGGGACGAUAUCCUGCUCCGCCAAGUCGCCGGCCGCCUCCGCGCCAACGGGAAGUACCUCAGCGUCGACGACUUCAACAGCGCCGGCCCGAUGAUGCACUGGGUCGUGGAGCGCAUCCCCGCCAGGGAGGACACGCCUCGCCUUGCAGCUCCGACUGGGGUGAGUCCGCCAUGCCCGCUUCUUCAUACUUCUCGAACUGCUUUCAGCGGAACUAUCGAUUGGGCGAAUUGGGUUCUUGUUUGUCGUUACAAUUGGGGAUUUGUGUCCGAUAAAAUAAUUGAGUACCCUGCUUCGUAUUUGAUGGUUCUUUGUGCUCAACUGCAGCUCCGCUUCCCCAGAAGCCUCGCCUUCCUGUUGCCGUGGCGGGUGAUCCAGUACGAGCAGGCCGGCGCCGGCGAUCCCAACGCCAACUUCGCCUGGGCCUCACUCGUAUUCAGGGGCAGGUCCAUGUUCCACCUGAGGAAGAAGCUGGCCCGCCGGCUGGAUGCCGCCAUGGACGCCUCCAACCUCGUCAUGUGCGUCCGAGCGGGUACGCACGGACGGCCUACCCCACUGCUCGCCGAUCUGCCCCACAGCGACGAGACCCUCGACAUCAUCGUCGUCAUGGCCGGGACGCCAGGUGAGACACGCCAUUGCUAA
rnacentral:rRNA from 1 species